rnacentral:rRNA from 1 species
AUGUGGCAUGAAGAAAGACUACAAUCUUAUGGAUGUAGAAAGCCAACCUUUGGGAUAUGCUGCAAACGAGGACAGGUUAUCUUGCCACCAUUGAAAGAACCGCCACCAUACCUUACGAGUUUGUUGACAAGAGAUGGAGGAAAAAGAUCAGCAAACUACCGAAAAAACAUUAGGUCUUACAACUCCAUGUUUGCAUUCACAUCAAUGGGGGGAACUCUAGAUAAGCAAAUAAAUAAAGAGCGUGGACCUUAUGUUUUCCGACUGAAUGGCCAGAACCGCCACCAGAUAGGCACCCUGCUACCUCAAGAAGGAAAUAAACCUCGUUUCCAGCAGUUGUAUAUCUAUGACACGAAUAAUGAGAUCCAGAACAGGGUAGAAGCAUCAAGAUCUGGUGAACGUGAUGCCUCACUAGAUGAAACAAUUGUCAGUGGCCUACAGAGCAUGCUCGACGAGAAUAACACACUAGCACAAUCAUUCCGAAUGGCAAGAGAUAGAUUUAAAGAAGAUGACUACAACAACUUCACUCUACCUUUACUUGGCAACAGGGAUCAAGAUGGGAGACAAGAUAACAUGCCAUCAACAUCGGAAGUUGCUGCACUGAUAGUCAAAGAUCCAACCCAAAAACAUUAUGGGUGUGACAUUGUUCUCGAGUACAAAGAUACGAAACCUAAAAGGAUUUCAGAAAUCCAUCCAAAAUUCAUGGCCAUGCAAUACCCGUUGCUCUUCCCAUAUGGAGAAGAUGGUUAUAGACUUGGAAUCAAAUACAACAAAAAGAAAGAGCAAGUAGGGAGGAGAAUAGUACUCCCAGCAAGUUUCACAGGAAGUCCUCGAAACAUAGAGCAGAACUACCAAGAUGCGAUGGCAAUAUGCCGUUGGGCUGGACAUCCUGACUUGUUCGUAACAUUCACAUGCAACCCUAAUUGGCCUGAGAUUCAGUUGAUGCUAAAUGAAGCAGGGAACCAGAAACCAGCAGAACGACCUGAUAUUGCAGUUUGAGUGUUCAUGAUAAAACUAAAAGAGCUCAUGUUUGAUAUUAAAAGUAAAUAACAAUUUGGAAAGACUAAAGCAAUCAUCUUCACAAUAGAAUUCCAGAAGAGAAGACUCCCACAUGCCCGUAUACUAAUAUUCCUUGACGGAAAAGAGAAAGGGAACCGUCUCAAGCCCUCACAAACAGAUGAAAUUAUAUGCGCUGAAAUCCCAGACAAGGACAAGGAUCCAGAAACAUUUGAAGCUGUCAAGAAUUUUAUGAUGCACGGACCAUGUGGAGAGGCAAAUCCAAAGUCACCCUGCAUGGAAAAACAUAUGUGCAGUAACUACUUUCCAAAAGAAUUCUGUGACGAGACGAUCGUUGAUGAAGACAACUUCCCGAGGUACAGGAGACGAGAUAAUGGCCGCCAGAUAGACAAGGGAGGAGUCAAGUUGAACAAUGGAUUUGUUGUACCAUACAACAAAGAUCUCCUGGUAAAAUUCCAAGCACACAUAAAUGUGGAGUUGUGUAAUCGAUAUAUGUCAAUCAAAUACCUCUUUAAGGAUAUCCGUCAAGGAGAUAACCAAGCAACAGCACUGGUUGAAGAAACAGACCAAUCAAAACACAAUGAUGAGAUUAAAAUGUACCUUAGAUGCAGAUACAUAACAGCAACUGAAGCAUGCUGGCGAAUAUUCAAGUUUCCUCUACAGUACCAGCAACCAUCUGUUCAGAGGCUAAUGUUCCAUGAGGAGAACAAGCAACAAGUCAUUUUUCCUGACUCAACAAACCUAGAAGAAAUAAUACAGCGGCCAAGAUCAAGUAUCACUAUGUUUACUGAGUGGAUGGAGACAAAUAAAAAACACAAAGAUGCGAGAGAAUUAACAUAUUUGGAGUUUCCUACAAGAUGGACAUGGGAUAGGACAAAACAGAAGUGGACAAGGCGGAGAGCAGGAAGGAACAUCGGCAGGAUAUAUAAUGCUCAUCCUGCAAGCGGAGAAAGGUACUAUCUCAGAGUUCUCCUCAACACUGCAAAGGGUUGCAUGACAUUUGAAGAUAUCAGGACUGUCAACGGACUCGUGCACUCAUCAUACAAAUCAGCAUGUCAUGCGCUAGGAUUUCUUGAGGAUGACAAGGAGUGGACUGAGUGCAUCAAGGAAGCAUAAGAAUGGGCAUCUGGGGUGCAACUACGCCAAUUGUUUGCAACUAUUUUGUGCUAUUGUGAGGUUACUGACUCAGGGAUGUUAUGGGAAUCCAACUGGGAGACACUCUCUAAAGACAUACAGCACACACCAAGCUGGAUUACAAACUUUCCACACCCCUUCACUCCUUCACACAACAGAAAAUGCACUUUAACAGAAAUUGAGAAGCAAAUGGGACAAGCUGGAAGAUCACUAAAGGAUUACCCUGGAAUAGAGAUACCGAACAUGUCCGAGUUAAAUGAAAUAGAGAACAGGCUUAUAAAUGAAGAAAUGAACUAUGAUAAAGACAAGUUGAAGGCUGAACACGUGCAAAUAGUGGAAAAUCUAAAUUUAGAUCAGAAGAAGGCCUUCGAUGCAAUAAUAGAAUCAGCAGAUUAAUCAUUAGGGAAGAUAAUAUUCGUGGAUGGCUAUGCCGGGACAGGUAAGACAUACCUUUGGAAAGCUAUCACUACAAGGCUAAGAUCG